GAACUUACCGACGGAAGCCAUCUUGAACCCUUUUGCUGUCCGCUAAAGAGGGCCGCGCAAGAGCUGCCGGGAAUGGAUGACAAAGAUGAAGAAAUGGACUUUAUCCAUGAUGAGGUGGCACAGCUGGAUUCUGCCCCCAGGUACCUGGGGAUAUAAAGGUGGAGAAUUGUGGGAAUCCAGUGUUUUGGGCCUUGCCUGCAUCAGCAAUGUAUCCCUAGCAACCACAGAAAUCCCAAGGACAAUGAGAUCUGCCUGGAAG